UGUCAUCAGCUAUAGGAUCUUACCAUCACAUUCUGAUGGGUAGCCCUGAGCAAUGAGAAUUGACAACUCUGGUAUCAUCUCUGUGACAUCCUCGACCAACAAGUUGAGAGCAAGGUGUCCUACAUCUAGCUCUGGACUUUUUGAGAACUUGUAGCCAAUGGAAGGAGAAUUAUCCACCUUGUAACAUUCAUUCUGAACACUUUCCAGGCCGUUCUGGCAUCCGAUGAAUGUGAUUCCUAUGCCCUCUUUCUCUAUCCUCCCAAUGGUCUUCAGUUUUUGGAACUCACCCCAAAGAAUCCUACAGUGUCCAGCCGCAGCUUCCUGCUAAGGUGGGAUUCUGCCAAGGGGAAGCAGAUGAUGUGAAGAGAAAAGCCCUGUAUUUCAGCCUGACUAACAGUGAGCAGUCGGUGAAGAAUCUCUACCAUGAGCUGCAUAGUUCUCCUAAGCAAGGAGAUGGUCUUCAUCCUCCUUACCACUUCCACCCUUGCCUACCCCAGGGACUUUCUGACAAGAGAUGAAAUUGCUUCUUGUGGCUAUGAAGGAACCAAGAAGAUAUCAAUGCCAGUUCUAGCUAUAAUGUUUAGGUCCUGAGAUGGAGAAGGGGAGUUAACAAAAGUGAAGACACUGACCACCUUUUGAUUUUCAGGAGACUGGAGAGAUGACGGAGAAGGUAAGAACAUGUACUACUUUUGAAGAAGACCCAUGUUAGAUUCAAAGAACAAGAUGACUCAUAAUCACUGGUAAUUUCAGUUUCAGGGACCUAAUACUCUUCCUUUUCUAGUCUCUGCAGGCAACCCUAGACAUGCAAAUACUCACACACAAUUUAAUAAAGACACAGCC
ensembl:lncRNA